CAGUCGCCGCGGUAAUACGUAGGUGGCAAGCGUUGUCCGGAAUUAUUGGGCGUAGAGCGCGCGCAGGCGGAUCAGUUAGUCUGUCUUAAAAGUUCGGGGCUUAACCCCGUGAUGGGAUGGAAACUGCUGAUCUAGAGUAUCGGAGAGGAAAGUGGAAUUCCUAGUGUAGCGGUGAAAUGCGUAGAUAUUGGGAAGAACACCAGUGGCGAAGGCGACUUUCUGGACGAAAACUGACGCUGAGGCGCGAAAGCCAGGGGAGCGAACGGGAUUAGAUACCCCUGUAGUCCCUGUCUCUUAUACA
rnacentral:rRNA from 1 species